UACAGAGGGUGCAAGCGUUAAUCGGAAUUACUGGGCGUAAAGCGUGCGUAGACGGUUACAUAAGUCGGGUGUGAAAGCCCCGGGCUCAACCUGGGAAUUGCAUUCGAGACUGCGUAGCUAGGGUGCGGAAGAGGGAAGCGGAAUUUCCGGUGUAGCGGUGAAAUGCGUAGAUAUCGGAAGGAACACCAGUGGCGAAGGCGGCCUUCUGGACCAAUACUGACGCUCAUGCACGAAAGCGUGGGGAGCAAACAGG
rnacentral:rRNA from 1 species